CGCUGGGUUCAUGUGCACGCGAUUUGAAAAGUGGAUAUGUGUGAAAAAUGAAUCCGGGUUCAGGCAAACUAGACUUCGUCUGCAUGAGGCCUAAGAACAUUCCAGGGUCGCCUUGACCCAAUAGGCUGACAGUUCACACCUCCUCUUCACACAAGGGUCAAAUAUAAAAGCCAAAUAUUGUAUUCAGUGCUUGUCUCUAACAAUGGUAGAAUUUAAAGUCAUGAGUGGUUAUGAGAGACUAGAUUUUAAAAGUAAACAUGAAGAAAGUGUCAGUCUGGUUGUCACUGGUGAUACUUUGUAAAAUGGCUGUGGCCUUUGAGUUUGUGUAAAUUGUUUUUGGAGUUUAUGUCUGUUUUAUGUCUAUGACUCACAUAUCUCAUGCAUAGACACACAUGGCUGUCUAUGUAGAGAACAGGGAACCUUAGUUGGCAUAUAGUGUAUGAGAAGUUUUUAUUUUUAAUUAUUUGAAGCCAAUUUGUUGUGAACCUUUGGUGUUUGUGUUUUUGAUACGUUUUUUAUUAUUAUUUCAAUUCAAUUCAAUUUAAUUUAUAUAGCACUAAAACAAUACAAUUGUCUCAAGGCUUGAAAACCCCCUUAGCGGGUUGCCCCUGCAGCAAUGAGCAGGAAACGGACACGACAAGUCUCUUGAGCAGCAGGAGACACGACAAGUCUUUCAAGCAGCGGGAGACACGACAAGUCUCUUGAGCAGCGGGAGACACGACAAGUCUCUCGAGCAGCGGGAGCGAUCAACCCCACACAGCUGACUUCCUCACCAAACCGAGAGGAUGCACCUGCCCCAACAGUCAUCAACAAAAUUGCGGUGCUAAAAUUAGAACUGGAGGCUGAAAAUGGAGAAGGGGAACCUUGAGGGAGGAGAUGAUUGGCCUUCUCAAAACAGACAAAUUCUACCUCCAGGAGGAGCUGGCUAAGAAAGAUGCCUUCAUCCAAGAUAUCGUUAAAAAGAAUGAGGAACACCAAAGGCGUUAUCCUGCGAUAUGUGGCUGCCUCGGAAGCCUUCAAGAAAGGAAACUCAAUGAAAGCUGCUUUUGACGCUGUAGGGGUGGAUCGCAACACUGUAGCACUGUAGCUGGUUUGUUCAUGCGAUCCACCUCUACAGCACAUUUGCUGUUUGUUUUGGUCCCCCAAAUCAAUGCUCUGGGCUAUGUUCAGUGCUGAGUUGAAAAUAAAAGGGUCUUUUCAUCUGUA